UAGGGAAUCUUCCACAAUGGGCGAAAGCCUGAUGGAGCAACGCCGCGUGGGUGAAGAAGGUCUUCGGAUCGUAAAACCCUGUUGUUAGAGAAGAAAGUGCGUGAGAGUAACUGUUCACGUUUCGACGGUAUCCAACCAGAAAGCCACGGCUAACUACGUGCCAGCAGCCGCGGUAAUACGUAGGUGGCAAGCGUUAUCCGGAUUUAUUGGGCGUAAAGGGAACGCAGGCGGUCUUUUAAGUCUGAUGUGAAAGCCUUCGGCUUAACCGGAGUAGUGCAUUGGAAACUGGGAGACUUGAGUGCAGAAGAGGAGAGUGGAACUCCAUGUGUAGCGGUGAAAUGCGUAGAUAUAUGGAAGAACACCAGUGGCGAAAGCGGCUCUCUGGUCUGUAACUGACGCUGAGGUUCGAAAGCGUGGGUAGCAAACAGG
rnacentral:rRNA from 1 species